rnacentral:lncRNA from 1 species
AGCACGACGGGGGCAUCGAAACUACGAUUUCGUUUCAUCCUAUUUGCUUGCCGAUUUGCGACAAAAUCCGUCCUCUCUCCGACUAAUCCACAUAUCACACAUAGGCCUAGGUGGAAACCCGAAAUCCUUUAAUUCAAACUCGAAUUUGAAUUCCCUACCACCAGUAGGUACUUGAAACAACUCUCACCUAACCCCAGGUCACAAGCACAGAGCACGAGGAGUCUCAUUAUGCAAAAACAGCAAAGAGUGAAAACCCUCUUUUCGAUAAAAUCCCUUUUUCUCGAAAACCGUACGUCAGAUCUGAAAUCCGUCAGUGCCAUUGGUUCCAGAAUAGUUGAACCGAUCAAAACGAGCUAUUGGAUCGCUAUGAACGGAGUCCGACACGUGCCGAAAGCCACCUCUACUCUGUGGCUUCUCCAGAAAACCGGAGUUACUAUUCACUUUAAGUGAAAACUAAUAAUCGCGUAACUUCUCCGUUCUAGCUCAUUUUCUCCUGAAACUUGACGAGUGCUUAUGUAAUUAAAUUACACACAUAAAUAUCAUCAACAGAGAGUUUGGUUGCACUGUAAAAAUCUCAGUCCUUACAGAAG